UACGUAGGGGGCAAGCGUUGUCCGGAAUCAUUGGGCGUAAAGCGCGUGUAGGCGGCCCGGUCAGUCCGCCGUGAAAGUCCAGGGCUCAACCCUGGAAUGCCGGUGGAUACUGCCGGGCUGGAGUCCGGAAGAGGCGAGUGGAAUUCCUGGUGUAGCGGUGGAAUGCGCAGAUAUCAGGAGGAACACCAACGGCGAAGGCAGCUCGCUGGGACGGUACUGACGCUAAGGCGCGAAAGCGUGGGGAGCGAACAGG
rnacentral:rRNA from 1 species